rnacentral:rRNA from 1 species
GACGAACGCUGGCGGCGUGCUUAACACAUGCAAGUCGAACGAUGAAGCCCUUCGGGGUGGAUUAGUGGCGAACGGGUGAGUAACACGUGGGCAAUCUGCCCUUCACUCUGGGACAAGCCCUGGAAACGGGGUCUAAUACCGGAUAACACUCUGUCCUGCAUGGGACGGGGUUAAAAGCUCCGGCGGUGAAGGAUGAGCCCGCGGCCUAUCAGCUUGUUGGUGGGGUAAUGGCCUACCAAGGCGACGACGGGUAGCCGGCCUGAGAGGGCGACCGGCCACACUGGGACUGAGACACGGCCCAGACUCCUACGGGAGGCAGCAGUGGGGAAUAUUGCACAAUGGGCGAAAGCCUGAUGCAGCGACGCCGCGUGAGGGAUGACGGCCUUCGGGUUGUAAACCUCUUUCAGCAGGGAAGAAGCGCAAGUGACGGUACCUGCAGAAGAAGCACCGGCUAACUACGUGCCAGCAGCCGCGGUAAUACGUAGGGUGCGAGCGUUGUCCGGAAUUAUUGGGCGUAAAGAGCUCGUAGGCGGCUUGUCACGUCGGAUGUGAAAGCUCGGGGCUUAACCCCGAGUCUGCAUUCGAUACGGGCUAGCUAGAGUGUGGUAGGGGAGAUCGGAAUUCCUGGUGUAGCGGUGAAAUGCGCAGAUAUCAGGAGGAACACCGGUGGCGAAGGCGGAUCUCUGGGCCAUUACUGACGCUGAGGAGCGAAAGCGUGGGG